rnacentral:rRNA from 1 species
UCCUGGCUCAGGAUGAACGCUGGCGGCGUGCCUAAUACAUGCAAGUCGAGCGAACGGACGAGAAGCUUGCUUCUCUGAUGUUAGCGGCGGACGGGUGAGUAACACGUGGAUAACCUACCUAUAAGACUGGGAUAACUUCGGGAAACCGGAGCUAAUACCGGAUAAUAUUUUGAACCGCAUGGUUCAAAAGUGAAAGACGGUCUUGCUGUCACUUAUAGAUGGAUCCGCGCUGCAUUAGCUAGUUGGUAAGGUAACGGCUUACCAAGGCAACGAUGCAUAGCCGACCUGAGAGGGUGAUCGGCCACACUGGAACUGAGACACGGUCCAGACUCCUACGGGAGGCAGCAGUAGGGAAUCUUCCGCAAUGGGCGAAAGCCUGACGGAGCAACGCCGCGUGAGUGAUGAAGGUCUUCGGAUCGUAAAACUCUGUUAUUAGGGAAGAACAUAUGUGUAAGUAACUGUGCACAUCUUGACGGUACCUAAUCAGAAAGCCACGGCUAACUACGUGCCAGCAGCCGCGGUAAUACGUAGGUGGCAAGCGUUAUCCGGAAUUAUUGGGCGUAAAGCGCGCGUAGGCGGUUUUUUAAGUCUGAUGUGAAAGCCCACGGCUCAACCGUGGAGGGUCAUUGGAAACUGGAAAACUUGAGUGCAGAAGAGGAAAGUGGAAUUCCAUGUGUAGCGGUGAAAUGCGCAGAGAUAUGGAGGAACACCAGUGGCGAAGGCGACUUUCUGGUCUGUAACUGACGCUGAUGUGCGAAAGCGUGGGGAUCAAACAGGAUUAGAUACCCUGGUAGUCCACGCCGUAAACGAUGAGUGCUAAGUGUUAGGGGGUUUCCGCCCCUUAGUGCUGCAGCUAACGCAUUAAGCACUCCGCCUGGGGAGUACGACCGCAAGGUUGAAACUCAAAGGAAUUGACGGGGACCCGCACAAGCGGUGGAGCAUGUGGUUUAAUUCGAAGCAACGCGAAGAACCUUACCAAAUCUUGACAUCCUUUGACAACUCUAGAGAUAGAGCUUUCCCCUUCGGGGGACAAAGUGACAGGUGGUGCAUGGUUGUCGUCAGCUCGUGUCGUGAGAUGUUGGGUUAAGUCCCGCAACGAGCGCAACCCUUAAGCUUAGUUGCCAUCAUUAAGUUGGGCACUCUAAGUUGACUGCCGGUGACAAACCGGAGGAAGGUGGGGAUGACGUCAAAUCAUCAUGCCCCUUAUGAUUUGGGCUACACACGUGCUACAAUGGACAAUACAAAGGGCAGCGAAACCGCGAGGUCAAGCAAAUCCCAUAAAGUUGUUCUCAGUUCGGAUUGUAGUCUG